GGGUUGUGAGGUUAAGCGACUAAGCGUACACGGUGGAUGCCCUGGCAGUCAGAGGCGAUGAAGGGCGUGCUAAUCUGCGAUAAGCGCCGGUAAGGUGAUAUGAACCGUUAUAACCGGCGAUACCCGAAUGGGGAAACCCAGUGUGACUCGUCACACUAUCAUUAACUGAAUCCAUAGGUUAAUGAGGCGAACCGGGGGAACUGAAACAUCUAAGUACCCCGAGGAAAAGAAAUCAACCGAGAUUCCCCCAGUAGCGGCGAGCGAACGGGGAGGAGCCCAGAGCCUGAAUCAGCAUGUGUGUUAGUGGAAGCGUCUGGAAAGGCGCGCGAUACAGGGUGACAGCCCCGUACACAAAAGCGCAUGUGCUGUGAGCUCGAUGAGUAGGGCGGGACACGUGGUAUCCUGUCUGAAUAUGGGGGGACCAUCCUCCAAGGCUAAAUACUCCUGACUGACCGAUAGUGAACCAGUACCGUGAGGGAAAGGCGAAAAGAACCCCGGCGAGGGGAGUGAAAAAGAACCUGAAACCGUGUACGUACAAGCAGUGGGAGCCCCACCACCAAAGCAUUUGCUGUACCGCGUUGACGGAGCGAAGCGACGUCAAACCGAUAAAACAGCAGUGUAAAGUGAGCCGCAGGGCGCUUUGCGCGACAGCGCAAAGGCAGGCGGUUUCGCGUAGCGAAAGCGAAUGCUUUGGGGUGGGGUGACUGCGUACCUUUUGUAUAAUGGGUCAGCGACUUAUAUUCUGUAGCAAGGUUAACCGAAUAGGGGAGCCGGAGGGAAACCGAGUCUUAAU
rnacentral:rRNA from 2 species